rnacentral:rRNA from 1 species
CCCUUAGAUGUCCUGGGCCGCACGCGCGCUACACUGAGUGUCUGAGAUACGAGUCUGCCUGGUCCGGCAAGGUCUAGGUAAUCGCUAAAAGACACAUCAUGCUUGGGAUAGAUUAUUGCAAAUAUUAAUCUUGAACGAGGAAUUCCUAGUAAGCGCAAGUCAACAGCUUGCGUUGAUUACGUCCCUGCCCUUUGCACACACCGCCCGUCGCUACUACUGAUUGGAUGUUUAAGCGAGGUUCUCGAACUGCUAGCGACUUAGCUUCGGUGAGGUCGCAGUGUGGGAAGUGAACCUAGCUUUGGUGUCUAGAGGAAGUAAAAGUCGUAACA